rnacentral:lncRNA from 10 species
GCUGGGAGCUGUAGACAGGAGCUGUUCCUAUUCAGCCAUCUUGGCUGCCAGCCGUUCCUUUGCAUUUCUACUGCCAUCACCUUAACAUGUGUAGACUACUUACCCAAUCUUUCUACAGCUCUUUUUGCAGUUUUCUCUGCCUGCGUGUCACUAUGCAAAACUUUGUCAAGUGAUUUCUGAAGUAUAGUUCUUUAAUCACACAACGCAGUAUGACUCCAUUUUCUAGUUAAGCAAAUUGAAGUAUAGAAAAGGGAGAGACCUUCGUCAAGGUCACAUGACUUGUAAAUUUCAGAGAUGGGUCUCUCUGGCUCCAAAGCCACAUUCUGGUCACAUUUGGUCUCUGGUCCAAAGCCGCAUUCUUUUCACCAUAUCAUGCUCUCAGGCAUCAGGAAAGUCUCCAUACGUUCCUGGAAGGUGGUUGACUUCCUGCCUUUCUCAGCAGCCUGUGUCCCAGUUGCUUCCACAUUGCUGACAAGCAAGCCCUUUACUGAGAUCCCUGCUGUAAGCUGCAUUGAAGCCAAGCAUCAGAGAGUAAUUAUAUUCCACUCAUUCUACACCAGCUGGUAUUUACUUCAUCCUCCAUCAGGCAUCAACAGAGCAUGGGACUGCAAGACAGAAAUAUUACUCUGAAAAUGUAGCUGGGACCACAGCCAACUAGUCUACCUAUCAGCCAGCUGCUGAGAGGAGCCUGCCAGUCAGCUGAAGGGUCAGUGCCUGCCUUUGACUUUGACUCAGCUGCUGAGGCUACAUGACUCAUCCGAGAGUAAGAUACUCAGGAGACCCAAUGGAGCCUCCUCCUUGAGCUUCAGCUGUAAAUAUCAGGAGUCUCAGCCAUAAACCUAGCAACGGGCGAGAUAUUACUUUUCUCCUCUACGAAUGAGACAUUCCUUUGAAACACCAUACAUCAAACUUAUAAAAUGUUUUAUAUGUGGAUUUUAACAGCUAUUGGGAAUUCGCGGUCUCACUAUGUUUCUUGGAACUCCUAAGCUCAAGUGAUGUUCCCACCUCUCCCUCCCAAAGUGCUUGAAUUACAGGUGUAAGCUACAGUGCCUAGUCCCUUUUUCAUAUUUCUUUAGGUAUAUUUUUUCUGUCUAGCCUAUUUUAAGCAUUUCAAACAAAAAGCCGAUGUCAAUAUAGUAUUCAAAAAUGUAGAUGUUUAGAGGAAGUCAAGUAAAUGUACAGGGAGUGGCAAUGUCUUCCUUAUGAGUAGAGCAUCCACCUCAGAGCAAUCUUUGUCUUGCCUUUAUGUUGAGUUCUAGGAGAAUAAAUAAGCAGGAAGCAAAAAGGAGAGAAGUGGGCUGGAUCGCUGUGGUUCCUUCCUAGAGGAGGCAACAAAUAGGCAUUUGCUCAGAUCCUUAUAUUACACAAAAAGAUGAAUUCCUGAAGCCUGUGAAAUUAAAUAUUUUCAAAAAUAAAGCAAUGGAUCUCUAAAAUAAGUAUACGUUUAUUUUUACUCAACUUCUGCAGAGAGGACCUUUGAAGCUAAAAUUCAAUAGAAGAUACCAUAAAUUUAAAAAUUUAAAAAAAACACUUAAAACUAAAUAUCAUAUCUAAAAUAAAAAUGCAAAUUAAAAAGAUAAUGAUUUGGAAAUAUUAGUUUAUUAAUAUCUCUAUCAUAUACAAAUCUCAAGGUCGAUAUUUACAAGAUGACUAGUAACAUCGGUACUGAGCAUAACAUCAAGUGAAGACAGGGGCUCAAACAUUUUCCUGAAGGUAUUAACUACAUAAUUGCAUUCUUGGCAAAUGAGUCAUUAGACAAAUUGCUACAAAUAAACAAAAGCUAGAUACUUAUGUUUUAGGCAGUCUAGACAACCUGAUAACUUAAUGAACAUAAUUGCUGAAAACUAUUAAAAGUUCUUGGUUGAUUAUAGCAAAAAUUCUUUUUAAAUUGAUCAAUGAUAAUGAUUGACAAAAACAAAACGAAACAAAUACAAAACCUCAGGAUUGACAGAAGAAGUGGCAAAUCCUGUCUGGAGCAAAGAAAAUUCAAAACAGAUGUCAAAGAAUUCCCAUAGAUCGAGUUUCAAGCAAUGAGAUCUCUUGGUUAAAGAGCAAAACAAAACAUAUAUGGUGACAACGAGGUACCAUGCAUUAAGGGCAGGAAAAUCAACAUGGCCAAAUGUCCAAUAUUGGAAUUAUUCUUUAGGAGUAUAAGCUUGAAGAAACAAAUUUAAACUAUGUUUAUUUAAAAAAAAACACAUAGAAAAUAACCAACUAGACUUUUCAAAUCAUCAAACUAAGUUCUGGAAAUGGAACACAGUGAGUAAUUAAAAUUAGAAAAUGCAAUAUCUAAGUUGAACAGCUAAUUUAAAAAGCUGAAUAAAGAAUUAAAUAAUCAAAUGAUAGGAUCAAAUGAAAACUAUAAAAAAAUGAAGAACAGUAACAAAGACAGAAAAUUGGGGAGAAAUUUUAAUAAACAUGCAAGAUAAAAAGAUCUAACAUAAGAUCCAUUGGAGUUUCAGAGGAAAUGAGAUAAACUGAAAAUAAUCUAUUAGGAAGAACAGCUACAGUAGUCAAGAGAGUGUGAUAUUGGCAUGAAGAUAGGCAAAAUAAAGUUCAUAAAUAGACCCACACAAAUAUGGACAACUGAUUUUGGACAAAGAGCCAAAAGCAUCUUUAAGUGGAUUUUCAGAAAUUGCUGAUAAAACAGUCAGAUAACCACAUGCAAAAGUAACAACAAAAACUAAAAAAAAAAAAAAAAAAAAAAAAUGAAAAACUGUAGUUCAUACCUCCCAUCAUAUACAAUAAUCAAAUAGGCUGUAGGCCUACAUUUAAAACAUAAAACUAUAAAGCUUCUAGAAAGAAAACAUCAAAACAAAUGUUUAUGAUCUUGAGUUAGGCAAAAGUAUUUUAGUCACAACACUGUCAUGAGUUGAAUUGUGUCCCCACAAAAAAAAAAAAAAGUUGAUGUCCUAACCCCUAGUACUUCAGAAUGUGAUAUUACUUGAAAAUAAGGUCUUCACAUAGGUAAUCAAGUUAAAAUAAGUUCAUUAAAGGGAACUUAAUACAAUAUGAUUAGUGUCUUUGUACAAAGGGAAGAUGUGGAUAUGACAGAAAUGCACAGACAGAAGACAAUGAAGAGAGACAUAGGGAGAAUGCCAUGUGACAGCCAGGGAUGAGAGUGAUGCAUCCAAUAGUCAAGGGAUGCCAAAGAUGGCCAGCAAACUACCAGAAGCUAGGAGAGAGGCACAGAACAGAUUCUCUCUCACAGCCCUCCAAAGGAGCCGACCCUGUUGACACCUUGAUUUCAGACUUCUAACCUCCAUAACUGUGGAACAAUACAUUUUGGUUAUUUUAAGCCACUCACCUAGUUUGCGGAACUUUGUUACAGCAGUCCUAGGAAACUAAUAUUUAAUACAAAUACCAUAAACAUGAUCUAUACAUUAAAAAAUAACAAAAAAGAAAUACUGGACGUCAUCAAAAUUAAGAACCUGUGCUCAUCUGGGCGCAGUAGCUCAUGCCUGUAAUCCCUGCACUUUGGGAGGCCAGGUGGGCAGAUCACCAGGUCAAGAGAUCAAGACCAUCCUGGCCAACAUGAUGAAACUCUGUCUGUACUAUAAAUACAAAAAUAAGCUGGGCGUUAUGGUGGGUGCCUGUAAUCCCAGCUACUCGGGAGGCUGAGGCAGGAGAAUCACUUGAACUCGGGAGGUGGAGGUUGCAGUGAGCCAAGAAAUGAGAACAUAUAAAUAUACAAGAACUUGUAUCUGAAUGCUCAUGCAACUUUAUUUGAAAUAGCCCAAAACUGAAAACAAUCUAAAUGUGAAAAACUGCUCAGUGCAAAACCAAAUUGUUAUAUAUAACUAUACAGUGGCAUACUACUCAGCAAUAAAAAGGAAUGGACUGUUUUCAUAUACAACAACAGUCUUAAAUAAUUAAGCAGAGUGAAGGUAGAAACCUGGCAAAAUUUAUAUACUGCAUGCCUUCAUUUUUAAAUAGUCAUCCACAAUGCAC